CAGCUGCUUAGAAUUAGGAUCUGAGUCAUCAAGAAGAGGUGAAUUCUUUUCCUGAGCCUCCGCUGUUUGAGAAGGAUGACAGGAUGGAGUCUCCAGCUGUGAAAGUGUUGCUGCAGACAGCCCUCAGCUUCCAGUUCUUGUAAAAAUGGCCUCAGCUUCAGAGAGCUCCAUUACCCAAGCUCAUUCAUUUCCUGGGGUGUUCUGCAUCCAGUGAGUGUUCUGUGGACUUGCCAGAACACUCACUUUUGGAACCUGGCCACCAUGUUGGAAGGAAUCCCAGAGCACAUGAGGAGGCCUUUUGGGGGUGUUCCAGCUGACAGCCUUAGCUAAGGUCUUAGCUAAUAGUCAGCAUCAACUGCUGGCAAGUGAACAAGGCUUCAGAUGAUUCCAGCCCUCAGCUUUCCAGCUGAAAACAUUGUAAAGCAAAUACAGCCAUUUCCACUUUGCCCUGUCUGAAUUCCUGACCCACAGAAGCCAUGAGAGAUAACAAAUGAUUACUAGUGCUUUAAGCCACCGGGUUUGGGAAUCAUUUCUUAUGUAUCAAUAGAUUACAGCAAAUGUCAAAAAACUAUAGAUAAAGUUAGGAUGAUAAUUCAGCACAGUUGCUAGAUACAAAAGUCAAUAUUGAAAUCAAUUCUAUUUCUAUAUACUGGCAACAUACAGAAGUCAAAUUUAAAAUUUACAAUAGUAUAAAAAUAUAAUUAUCUAAGAACAAAUAUAACAAAAUCAUAUGAGUCCUUCAAAGAGAUAAUCACAGAACUCAAUUAAAAUAUACUGAAAAAGACCCCAAAAAGGAGAUAUGCAAGAUAUAUAUUACACUCAUGGAUUCACAGAAUUAAUAUUGUGUAGAUACCAAUUACCUCAAAAUUGAUGUACUAUAUUGUACCAACCAAAUCACAAUCACUUAGUAAUGUGUUGAGCUGAUUUUAGAGUUCAUAAGAGAAUUGAGAAGUCUAAGAAUAGCCAUGGCCUUCUGGAAGAACAAGGCACAGGAGACAUCAUUUAUGAGAAACAGGCCCUCACCAGA
rnacentral:lncRNA from 1 species